GCUUGCACCCUCGCCCGGGAAAGCCUCAUCACAGACAUCGGCUCUCCCGAAAAGAACGUUGAGGCUUGUCUGCCCGUAAGAGCUUGAAGGAAAUCGCAUCGUGUCAAAACGUGAGAACAAAGAAAGUGAAGCGAAGGACACGGGAACGACCGAGACAGCGUUGUCUCGUUGGUGAUCAGACCAGCCGGUACCUACCCAGCAAGUUAGGUCACUGCAGAACAGGAAAAACAACAAAAUAGAACAAGAACUCAGUUUUGCGAUGGCAGCGGGCUCUCAGCAAGUCAUAUAUUACGCGCCUAUCUCUGGCCGCUACGGCGUACUAGGUCACAUUCCAUGCGAAAGCAAUCACCUCUUUGGCGAGACCUCUUCACACGGAGUAUCUGCUUUUUCAGGCUUCUAAAACCGAGCGGACAACACAAUGGCGGAAGGCGGACCACGUAGCAGACCAGUGCGCCCGCAGGCAGAAUUCUAAAGUGAUUUCAGGGGUCAAGCGUAGCUGGGAUCUGCCAGUUCGAAGGCACGGGUCUCAUAAGCGCGGGUUGAGAUUUUCUGGGGUGGCCAGUUCACAGUUGGGGCCGUCUCGGAACUUCUCUUGGGGGCGGUUGAGAUUUGGGCCCUCGAAGCCUACCUACGUCUUGAGACCCAAGUGUGGACUUUCCAAGGAAUUCUGCGUUGCGACCUCGAGUAUGCACCGGAAAUGCACUCCAACGUCCAGGCCUUCCAUCCAGGCCUGGCUUGCAUUGGACUGCUCAGUUUCCCUGUUCUAGGUACCUCUAUCUGUCUAUUGACUC